AUGGGAGACGGGCAGCGCCGGGAGCCGGGGAGGAGGUGGGGGGCUGAAGCUCCCACCAUUCACCCCCACCUCAGGAGGGCCUCGUUGGAUCUGGUAGCGGCCGACCGGCCGUACUCGUCGGAUGCCUCGGUAGGGGCGUCUCCGCUUCCUAGAUCCGGGUCGGAGACUCUGACGCAGAGGCCCGCAAGGGAGAAGCAGAGGAUGGAGGAGGAGCGGAGUCCAUGGAGGAAAGCAGGCGACGACUCCAGAAAUUUGCUUGGCGAACUCCUCGUGUCACUUGGCAUCAAAGAGCCAAAGCUGCUUGAAAAGCAACUUGAUUCGUCCUCAAGGCAAUAUUAUGCUGUUAGAUGCAGGGUUCCAUGA
rnacentral:rRNA from 1 species